GCGUUGCUCGGAAUGACUGGGCGUAAAGGUCGCGUAGGCGGAUGGCACAGCCAGAUGUGAAAUUCCCGGGCUUAACCUGGGGGCUGCAUUUGAUACGUGUUGUCUAGAGUGAGGAAGAGGGUCGUGGAAUUCCCAGUGUAGAGGGGAAAUUCGUAGAUAUUGGGAAGAACACCGGGGGCGAAGGCGGCGACCUGGUCCUUAACUGACGCUGAGGCGCGAAAGCGUG
rnacentral:rRNA from 1 species